UACGGGGGGGCAAGCGUUGUUCGGAAUUACUGGGCGUAAAGGGCUCGUAGGCGGCCAACUAAGUCAGACGUGAAAUCCCUCGGCUUAACCGGGGAACUGCGUCUGAUACUGGAUGGCUUGAGGUUGGGAGAGGAUGCGGAAUUCCAGGUGUAGCGGUGAAAUGCGUAGAUAUCUGGAGGAACACCGGUGGCGAAGGCGGCAUCCUGGACCAAUUCUGACGCUGAGG
rnacentral:rRNA from 1 species